UCCAGACAUUGGGAGGUAGUGACGAGAAAUACCAAAGUGUGCCUUUUGGUUCACUAUUGGAAUGAACGUAACAUAGUACCUUCGAUGAGUACCUACUGGAGGGCAAGUCUGGUGCCAGCAGCCGCGGUAAUUCCAGCUCCAGUAGUGUAUAUCAAAAUUGUUGCGGUUAAAACGCUCGUAGUUGGAUUACAAAAGUUGGGCGUUGAUCAAGCACUAGUUUGGUUGGCGUCGGGCUUUUUUAUCGCAAGAAUCACUCGUGCAUUUAACCGUGUGCGGGUGACCACUUGCGGAGCGUGCCUUGAAUAAAGCACAGUGCUCAAAGCAAGCGUAACGCUCGAAUGUUUAAGCAUGGAACGAAUAACUAUCUGACACAUGGUUCAGUUGUUGGUUAUCUGAGCCGGGUCCUGAUUAAAAGGGACAUUUGAGGGCGUUAGUACUUGGCGGCGAGAGGUGAAAUUCUUAGACCCGUCAAAGACUCACUAAUGCGAAAGCAUUCGCCAAGAAUGUUUUCAUUGAUCAAGAACGAAAGUUAGAGGUUCGAAGACGAUCAGAUACCGUCCUAGUUCUAUACAGUAAACUAUGCCACCACGGGAUCAGUCCGGGGAACUGCAUCCAGGUUGGUCCCUCAAGGAAACUCCAAGUUUUCGGGUUCCGGGGGGAGUACGGUCGCAAGUCUGAAACUUAAAGGAAUUGACGGAAGGGCACCACCAGGAGUGGAGCCUGCGGCUUAAUUUGACUCAACACGGGGCAACUCACCAGGUCCAGACAUUGAAAGGAUCGACAGACUGAUAGAUCUUUCGAGAUCCAAUGAUUGGUGGUGCAUGGCCCGUUCUUAGUUGGUGGAGCGAUCUGU
rnacentral:rRNA from 1 species